AACGAACGCUGGCGGCAUGCCUAACACAUGCAAGUCGAACGAGAUCCUUCGGGGUCUAGUGGCGAACGGGUGCGUAACGCGUGGGAAUCUGCCCUUAGGUUCGGAAUAACAGUUAGAAAUGACUGCUAAUACCGGAUGAUGACGUUAAGUCCAACGAUUUGUCGCCUGAGGAUGAGCCCGCGUAGGAUUAGCUAGUUGGUGUGGUAAAGGCGCACCAAGGCGACGAUCCUUAGCUGGUCUGAGAGGAUGAUCAGCCACACUGGGACUGAGACACGGCCCAGACUCCUACGGGAGGCGGCAGAGGGGAAUAUUAGACAAUGGGCGAAAGCCUGAUCCAGCAAUGCCGCGUGAGUGAUGAAGGCCUUAGGGUUAUAAAGCUCUUUUACCCGAGAUGAUAAUGACAGUAUCGGGAGAAUAAGCCCCGGCUAACUCCGUG
rnacentral:rRNA from 1 species